CAAUAGCGUAUAUUUAAGUUGUUGCAGUUAAAAAGCUCGUAGUUGGAUUUCGGGUGUGAACGACCGGUCCGUCUUUGAUGUGUACUGGUUGGUUGCGCCUUAUUGUCGAGGACGUGGUUCUAGCUUUCAUUAGCCGGGACACGGAGUCGGCAGCGUUACUUUGAGAAAAUUAGAGUGUUCAAAGCAGGCUAUCGCUCUGAAUACUACAGCAUGGAAUAACACGAUAGGACUCCGAGCCUAUUCUGUUGGUCUUCGGGACCGGAGUAAUGAUUAAGAGGGACAGUUGGGGGCAUUCGUAUUCCGAUGUCAGAGGUGAAAUUCUUGGAUUAUCGGAAGACGAACAUCUGCGAAAGCAUUUGCCAAGGAUGUUUUCAUUGA
rnacentral:rRNA from 1 species